rnacentral:rRNA from 1 species
CCUACGGGAGGCAGCAGUGGGGAAUAUUGCACAAUGGGGGAAACCCUGAUGCAGCGACGCCGCGUGAGUGAAGAAGUAAUUCGUGAUGUAAAGCUCUAUCAGCAGGGAAGAAAAUGACGGUACCUGAGUAAGAAGCCCCGGCUAACUACGUGCCAGCAGCCGCGGUAAUACGGAGGGGGCAAGCGUUCUCCGGCUUUACUGGGUGUACAGGGAGCGGAGACGGCAGUGCAAGUCCGGAGUGAAAGGCGGGGGCUCAACCCCCGGACUGCUCUGGAAACUGUUCGGGUUGAUUGCAGUAGAGGUAAGUGGAAUUCCUAGUGUAGCGGUGACAUGCGUAGAUAUUAGGCGGAACCCCAGUGGCGAAGGCGGCUUACUGGACUGUAACUGACGUUGAGGCUCGACAGCGUGGGGAGCAAACAGGAUUAGAUACCCUGGUAGUC